UACGUAGGGUGCAAGCGUUGUCCGGAAUUAUUGGGCGUAAAGAGCUUGUAGGCGGUUUGUCGCGUCUGCUGUGAAAUUUCGGGGCUCAACCCCGAACUUGCAGUGGGUACGGGCAGACUAGAGUGUGGUAGGGGAGACUGGAAUUCCUGGUGUAGCGGUGAAAUGCGUAGAUAUCGGGAGGAACACCUGUGGCGAAGGCGGCUUCUGGGCCCUACCUGACGCUGAGACGCGAAAGCGUGGGGAG
rnacentral:rRNA from 1 species